CAGGAGGAGGAGGAACCGCGUUGCUUUUGGUUGAGGCAUUGGUGGCAACGGAAGUUUGUUCGCUCAGAGAGGGAGAAAGAAGAAGGGUUUUGGUUUUGGAAAAAGGAACUCCCUCUAGGAAGCAAUUGAGAACCAAUCACCCCAAUAUCAUCAAGAACCGUAGAAAGAGAUUUACACCAACAAAUGGUCCUUCUACUAUAAUCUUACAAAUCAUCGAGCAACAAUUUGAUGAACACAACCCCAAUUGGAAGAAAAUUCGAAUUGAACUUCGAGACAAAUGAUUUGGAGAGUUUAAGAAAAAGUAUAAGUGGGAUCCAAAACAAGAGCGAGUCAUAAGAUCAAUUUUUGAUACAAAAGGCUCAAGUAUUCUGAAAAAUGCGAUGAACAAAGUUAGGAGUAGUCAAGAUAUAGGAACCUGAAUUCCAACAAUUGUUCAAGCAGCCUACAUUGGAGUUCUACAAAAUUCUAAAACAAAAAGUGUUGUUGCCAAGGCAAAUCGGGCUGUUGAGAAGGGAGUCUCUACAUAUUAUAGUGGUUCCAUAUCUACAACAACUCAGUUUGAGAAAAUGGACAAAUAUAAGCAAUAUCGAGAUGAAGCCCAACAACAUCAAAUGCUUGAAGGAUCAUCUUUAUAAAAAUGUCAUAUCGUCUCCAUUGAUGACAAUGAAAUAUACUUUAUUGUAUUUGGAGGUGGAAAUAAAAAGGCAAUGUGUAUGGACUUGGUGCAUUAAGUAAAACGUUUACUACUUCUAUAGGUGCUUACUUUACCAACCAAACUCUAGUAGUUCAUCAAAUAAAAGAAAUGUGUGAAACUACUCAAAAAUUAAACGCUAAACUUAUGGCAAAGGAUGCCAAGUAAAGAACACUUGAAGAAAAGAUAGAGCUCUUGAU